rnacentral:rRNA from 1 species
GAUGAACGCUGGCGGCGUGCCUAAUACAUGCAAGUCGAGCGAACGGACGAGAAGCUUGCUUCUCUGAUGUUAGCGGCGGACGGGUGAGUAACACGUGGAUAACCUACCUAUAAGACUGGGAUAACUUCGGGAAACCGGAGCUAAUACCGGAUAAUAUUUUGAACCGCAUGAUUCAAAAGUGAAAGACGGUCUUGCUGUCACUUAUAGAUGGAUCCGCGCUGCAUUAGCUAGUUGGUAAGGUAACGGCUUACCAAGGCAACGAUGCAUAGCCGACCUGAGAGGGUGAUCGGCCACACUGGAACUGAGACACGGUCCAGACUCCUACGGGAGGCAGCAGUAGGGAAUCUUCCGCAAUGGGCGAAAGCCUGACGGAGCAACGCCGCGUGAGUGAUGAAGGUCUUCGGAUCGUAAAACUCUGUUAUUAGGGAAGAACAUAUGUGUAAGUAACUAUGCACAUCUUGACGGUACCUAAUCAGAAAGCCACGGCUAACUACGUG